rnacentral:rRNA from 1 species
AACGAAAGCUGGCGGCAUGCCUAACACAUGCAAGUCGAACGAGACCUUCGGGUCUAGUGGCGCACGGGUGCGUAACGCGUGGGAACCUGCCCUUAGGUUCGGAAUAACUCCCCGAAAGGGGUGCUAAUACCGGAUAAUGUCUUCGGACCAAAGAUUUAUCGCCUUUGGAUGGGCCCGCGUUGGAUUAGCUAGUUGGUAGGGUAAAAGCCUACCAAGGCGACGAUCCAUAGCUGGUCUGAGAGGAUGAUCAGCCACACUGGGACUGAGACACGGCCCAGACUCCUACGGGAGGCAGCAGUGGGGAAUAUUGGACAAUGGGCGAAAGCCUGAUCCAGCAAUGCCGCGUGAGUGAUGAAGGCCUUAGGGUUGUAAAGCUCUUUUACCCGGGAUGAUAAUGACAGUACCGGGAGAAUAAGCUCCGGCUAACUCCGUG